GAUGAACGCUGGCGGCGCGCCUAAUACAUGCAAGUCGAGCGAACAGACGAGGAGCUUGCUCCUCUGACGUUAGCGGCGGACGGGUGAGUAACACGUGGAUAACCUACCUAUAAGACUGGGAUAACUUCGGGAAACCGGAGCUAAUACCGGAUAAUAUAUUGAACCGCAUGGUUCAAUAGUGAAAGACGGUUUUGCUGUCACUUAUAGAUGGAUCCGCGCCGCAUUAGCUAGUUGGUAAGGUAACGGCUUACCAAGGUAACGAUGCGUAGCCGACCUGAGAGGGUGAUCGGCCACACUGGAACUGAGACACGGUCCAGACUCCUACGGGAGGCAGCAGUAGGGAAUCUUCCGCAAUGGGCGAAAGCCUGACGGAGCAACGACGCGUGAGUGAUGAAGGUCUUCGGAUCGUAAAACUCUGUUAUUAGGGAAGAACAAAUGUGUAAGUAACUAUGCACGUCUUGACGGUACCUAAUCAGAAAGCCACGGCUAACUACGUG
rnacentral:rRNA from 1 species